ACUGGUCCCAGAGCUCCGGAUCGCAGUGGUUCCAUUUUAAAUUUCUUUGCUUCCUAACGCAACCUAUGUUUUCUACGGUAACUGAGGUUCCCGUGUUCUUUUUCACCAUGGUCUCUCCGUUUUAAUGUUUCGGGUUUUUUUACCCAGGCCCCUGUUUUAUGAGCCCUGGGUACGUCCUUCCUGUGUCCCGUUUGGCCUCCUGGGUUACACUCCUGUUCACCCCGCUUGGCCGGUUUUUUUUUUUCUUUUCUUUGAAC
rnacentral:lncRNA from 1 species